GACGAACGCUGGCGGCGUGCUUAACACAUGCAAGUCGAACGGAAAGGCCCUGCUUUUGUGGGGUGCUCGAGUGGCGAACGGGUGAGUAACACGUGAGUAACCUGCCCUUGACUUUGGGAUAACUUCAGGAAACCGGGGCUAAUACCGGAUAGGAGCUCCUGCUGCAUGGUGGGGGUUGGAAAGUUUCGGCGGUUGGGGAUGGACUCGCCGCUUAUCAGCUUGUUGGUGGGGUAGUGGCUUACCAAGGCUUUGACGGGUAGCCGGCCUGAGAGGGUGACCGGCCACAUUGGGACUGAGAUACGGCCCAGACUCCUACGGGAGGCAGCAGUGGGGAAUAUUGCACAAUGGGCGGAAGCCUGAUGCAGCAACGCCGCGUGCGGGAUGACGGCCUUCGGGUUGUAAACCGCUUUCGCCUGUGACGAAGCGUGAGUGACGGUAAUGGGUAAAGAAGCACCGGCUAACUACGUG
rnacentral:rRNA from 1 species